UACGAACGGGGCGAGCGUUGCUCGGAAUCACUGGGCUUAAAGGGCGCGUAGGCGGGCUGUUAAGUCUGGGGUGAAAUGCCGCGGCUCAACCGUGGAACUGCCUUAGAUACUGUCGGCCUCGAGGGAGGUAGGGGCAUGCGGAACUGUGGGUGGAGCGGUGAAAUACAUAGAGAUGUCAUAGAACACCAAUUGCGAAGGCAGCUCACAAACCUGUAACUGACGCUGAGGCACGAAAGUGCGGGGAUCAAACAGG
rnacentral:rRNA from 1 species